GUACUCUGUUAAAAUCUUACAAAGCAAUCUUGUUCCAAAAACAGUCAUUAGAAAUUCCUUAAAAAAAGCUGUCAUUUACCUGUUUUUUUAGGUUAUUUAAAUUAGAUAAUGAAAUUUGUACUAAAAUCCCUAUGGAAAGUGAUUAAUGGAUGCCUAAUUCAGAUGAUCUAAUGUAAAAAUGUAAAGUUAAUUCCUCUCACCACUUCAAGUUUACUCUCAACGUUUGGCUCAGAACUUCAAACUGUAUUCUUAAAUAAUUUCCUUUUAUUGGUUUUAGGGGCGAAAUUGGCCCUAAAGUACCUUGCAAGCCCUCUAGCUUGAAGAAUUACGACUUUAAUUAAUAAAUUACUGUAUUUUUUUCAAUUUCAACUGCUUUCGGGCCAGUUUUACCAAUUCUUAGAGUUAGCCAUUUUGUAUUCACCUUCUAAUUACUUUCUAGAAUUUACUUCGAGCAAGAAGCCAUUUUGAUCAAAAUACCACCAUGUUCUGUCAUCAGCAACCCCCCUUCCCCAAUUUUUGACUUAGGUUUUAUCCAAUGUCUGUUACGUCUCAUUGGCCAUGGCUUCAUGACGUUUAUUUGCCUUUUUGCAUCGCCCUACCUAAUUGGUGAGUUGAAUUCUUAUAUUUUCUGGAAGCAAACAGCAAUUUUUAGCCCUUCGCCAUUAGCUCCUGCCCUUCUGGACUCACACUUCAAACUUAUUCUCUUUUCAGCCCCCCAAAGAGCAAACAUCUGAUGACAGCCGGAACACAUCAAGCAGAAUGCUUGAUAAUCUUGGCAUAAGUGUAACUUGGAAGUUGGGCAAUUUUUAGCUCAUAACUUUUCACAGAAGAAGUCAUAGAUACAGGUUCUACCCGAGCGCUCUACUUUUACAUAAAGAAGGAAGAAAAUAAGUGUUUUCUUCAGGAAUUGCCCUCGAACACCAAUUUACUAGGGUGUAAAUAUCAUCUGAAUGAAUGGAAGUUUAUAGAAACCAGAGACUAAAGCUAUUACAAAUCCACUCCCGUCUUGGAAUAUUCAUCUACAUUUUCACUUGAAGAAGAAGCACAGAAAACAAAAAUUAAAGUGGAAAUUCAGGAUCCCGGAAAAAGCAUCACUUUCUCAAAAUUAUACCGGCUGGAAGGUGUCUUCAGCUUCACGUCACACAAUCCAGGAAGUUAUUUGAUAUGUUUAAAACCAGAAGAAAAUAACUACUCUUGGAAUAAACUUAAAAUUCACUUCGCUUUACAAGUGGGAGAACGUGCUAUUAACUACACAGCUGUUGCUCAGAAAGAAAAACUAUCAGAAAUAGAAUUGAAAUUUAAACAGCUAAUUGAAAAGGUUUCAGAAGUUAGCAAGGAACAAGAAUACCAAAGAUACAGAGAAGAAACGUUCCGAGCAAGCACUGAGAAGAUCAGCUGGAGAAUUCUUUUAUGGUCCGUAGCACAGACGAUAAUAUUAAUUCUUACUGGCAUUUGGCAACUGCAAAAUAUGAUUAAUUUUUUUGAAUCAAAAAAGUUAGUGUAAUUCCAAACAUAAUGCUAUCUCAAUGCAUGGAUCAUUUAACUGAAUUUGAGUUUCCUUUUACUGAUAUAGUUUGAUUUACUUUUAAUAAUGAUAAAAUUCUUGAAGUACAAAUCGAGCUCGGUUUUAAUGAGUAAGGUAUCGGCUUAUCUUAGAUAAAAAUUACAUCGCAACGCGAAUUUAUGUGAUCAUUUUCUCCUUUCUAUUACUAUCAUUUAUUGAAUUAUUUUUAUUUAAUUUUAAUAGUUGCUGAAGCGCCUUUUCUAAACUUAUAGGAAUAAAAAAGACUGAAAUUCAAGAAUAUCUAAUAUACUAUCCGUUUAUUUAAUGCGGAACUAUGGAAAAACUACUAUUGCAAUCCACCAGAAACACAAAACUGUCUAUGAAAAAUACAAAAUAGUAAAGAAAAAUGCUUAGCUAGCAACGAUAUAUAACAGUGCAUACUACAGCAAUAUCUGGCAACUGCUUUUAACAACAACAAUCCGCAAUUCAAUGGUACAGGUAAUAUGGAACGUAUAAACAUUGUUAACCAUUCAUUAAAAGCAAAUUGCUCAGUCUUAAAAUAUAUAUCACGUGUAGAGCCAUUAACUUCUGUUUCACAAUGAGUUAUAUCAGGAGCAAUGUAAGCGAAAACUAACAGCAUGCAAACUUUGAAGACAAAAAGAAAGGAGGAGGUUGCAAGCGCGAUACAGAGCGAGAACUUCAAAUUCUGUUUUAUACAGCCAAAUGAACCACCUGAAUUAAACUGCUUGAAAGCACAGGUAAAUUAUUAAUGAUAUUUUGCUAUUAUGUGAGUUAUUCUUUCUUAUGCUUUUAACUCUGCUUGGAUUAACGGUGGAUUGUUGCUCCAGGCAUUACUCUGUUGAGGAUGGACGAUGGAACCGAAACGGGCAAUGAGAAAAUUAGCUUUGCUGGAGGAUGCUGAAGCUUUGAAAUAAAGCUCUUCAGUAUUUAGAUAAUGCUUCUCUUAUACAUAUUACUGAUCAAAAAUAUAUAUACAUAUAUAUAUGAAUUAAAUCUACUACUUCCAAAGACCAAGAGAAAAUUUUGUAAUAAAUAAAAAUGCAUGAAAAUAAAAAUAAAAUCAAUAAAUUUUCACAAAAUAAUUACGUUGAACUGAAACGGAAGGCACUUGUAAUAAAUACUUUAAAAAAAGUAAGCCUUAGUACAAAAUUGGGAAGAAAUUGUAGCUAAGAAGCUUAAAAAUAAAAAAAUCAAAGUAUUAGUGCCGGGAACUUGUGCAGGACAAACCCGAACAUUUCAAUAAGUCACAUUUAUUCAAUAAAUUGCCUUCCUUUCCGGUUCAAUAUAAUUAUUAUAUGGAAACCUUUUGGUUUUACUUUUUAUUUUAAUUUAUUUUUUAUGUAUUUGAAUGAUUAAAAAAUUUUUUCUUAUCUUUGGAAGUAGUAGAUCUGGUACUUACAUAUUAACGCCACCGCAACAGAAGUUGCGCUGAUGUGCCAAUAAAGAGCAAGCCUUUUGUUCGCAUGCAGUUAUCUUUUGGAUUCCUUUUGGCCUUGUUAUUUGUUGAUUUUUCGCGCCAUUUUUUAGUGCUAUCAAAAUGCGUCUUUGGGAUUUCCCAAACACAGAUGAAGAUGCAAUUUUAUUUUUUCAGGAGCGAAAUAUUUUACAAAAAAAACGAAAAUGUACCAAUUUGCA